AAGUUCUUAUUCAAAAUGUCUAAGCACCGUGUCUGAAAUGCGUGGCCACAAAAAAGUAUGAUGUGAUCAAUAGAGGGCUGUUUGAUACAGUGUUGUUAGCACACUUCAGAAUGCAGUACCAGCUGUCCGGGAGCUUUCACACUGUUAUAAAUAUUCACAGACAAAAAACUGUCUUCAAAUAACAUUAAGACUCUGGCUUAAACCCACAAAGGCAAGCAAGUUCAGAGUUACCGCUGUUGGUCUGUCCCUCGCCCACCCCACAGGGCCUGGGGUUCACAGGGUUCUGUAGAAAUUGGCUCAGCCUCCCCAUCCCAGCACAGCUCCCCCCUCCAGCUGACCUCUGCCCUGGGGCUGGUUGUGACCAAAAGCAAGAAGCAUCUCCAGGGAAAUGACUGCCGUGGUUCUGCAUGCACAUGGCCACCAUGCAGACACAGGGCACAAAAGGUGGGUUUGAGGAGGAUGCUGUGGGCUCUCCUCACAGUGGUGGAGUAACCAAGAGGAGCCUGGCAGUUUAUGUUUGAGACCUUUAGGGGGCAGGGAGAGGCUCUGCUUGUCUUUUUGGACCGUCAGUAAAAUUGUAUGAAAUCAUACAGACUACAUCCUUGCUAAGAGUCCCCCUACCUGAUUCUCCAGACUUCUACAGGGAGGCUAAUAUAAUAGAGAGAGCAUUUUUAUGUUGUUAUGAAUGUCGUCAUCAUUAUUGUUGCCGCCCUUCAUUCAGCACUUACUAAGGAUGGUCCAAGCUAGGAGCUCUCACAUUUAAUCCUUAGAACAACCCUGGGGGUAUUAUUCCCAUUUCGUGUGUAAGGAGACUGUGGUUCAGAGGUGAAGUUUGCCCAAGGUCACACUGUCAGAGCCUGGCAAAGCCAGGAUUCCAUUCCAAGGUCACACUGUCAGAGCCUGGCAAAGCCAGGAUUCCAUUCCAAGGUCACACUGUCAGAGCCUGGCAAAGCCAGGAUUCCAUUCCAAGGUCACACUGUCAGAGCCUGGCAAAGCCAGGAUUCGAUUCCAGGUCCACCUACUUGCAGCAUCUGUGUUCUUACCGCUACAAUAUUUCAUACUACUGUCCUGAAACAAGUGUUUUGUUUUCCAAAAGAUGUUUGGGAUCACUUGCUUCAUUAUCCCUACGCCCCUCAAAUGUACCACUCUAAUAAGGGCCUUUGUCUAGCUCAACAGUUUUUUAAAAAUUGAAAGCAGUUUUAAUUUUAUGAAGUCAGAAAGGACCUCUCAUUAACUUGAAAUGGUCAAAGGAAUUGAUUCCUUCCUUUUAAUUGCAAAAUAAUUUGCUCUGACUAAGCAUUUAAAUUCUUAGUUUCAGCUGAGAGUGAAUUUUUAACAGCUGAGAUUCAAGUCCCGAAAUAAAAGUCCUGUAGUGUAAAUUCAGAUAGACUUAACUGCGGUCUGUUGCACCCUGCCAGAGACUGGCAGCUGGAAUUCUUUACUUGGCUGUUAUUUAAGUCCCUAAAUAUACCUUUUUAUCUUCUAUCCCAGUCGCAUGUAACUGAGUUGGAUUGCAGGUAUAAAAUGGAGUGGCAGGGAGGGGGGAAUUCUCUCACCAAAUUUUCCCUCCUUGAUGACUGGCUCCCGGGCUCUGGCUGGCAUUAGAAUAUUACUUAAAGCAAAGAACAGGGUCCCUCCUCAUGCAGAGGACAGAUGUGCUUCACCGGUCACAUCUGCUCUCUGCAGACCAUUGCCUCCCUCCUCAUACACGUAAGCACUGGGCCUCAAGAAAAUCCCCUUUUUAUGAUAUGUAACAUUUCUGCAAAUAACCAGUUACACUCAGGUUUUUUGAUGUUGUUCAAAGGUUCGCUUAAACAAUCUAGAUCUCUCUCCCUCCACGCCAUCUCCCUUUUCUUCCCUUGAUAGUGUCUAAAGCCGAUCUUCCCCUCCCCUUCUCCUCCUCCCCGGCCAGUCUUUUCAAGAAUAGCUUCAGCAAAUAAUGUUCUAUAGAGAGUGUCAGUACAUUUCAGGUGACGCAAAUGGUGAAGGCAUUUUAUAGAAAUGUGGCUUGUCACCAUCGGACUGUUGACAGAUCUAUUAGUAUACCCUUUUCAAUUUUCACUUUUCCCCCCUUCGAUCUUACAGAUUUCUACAGACUUGAUAUUUUGCAGUUGUUCUUGGAAGAGCUAUUUUGUAAUUGAAACUCCAGCGUUGUUCAGUCCAGACAGGACUUGGUCUUCUUCAGUGCUCUCCAGCUCCCUUUCUCGAGCUAUUCAGGAUUUGGCUUCGUCUGACCUC